rnacentral:rRNA from 1 species
GACGAACGCUGGCGGCGUGCUUAACACAUGCAAGUCGAACGGAAAGGCCCUGCUUUUGUGGGUUGCUCGAUUGGCGAACGGGUGAGUAACACGUGUGUAUCCUGCCCUUGACUUUGUGAUAACUUCACGAAACUGGGGCUAAUACCGGAUAGGAUCUCCUGCUCCAUGGUGUGGGUUGGAAAGUGUCGGCGGUUGGGGAUGGACUCGCUGCUUAUCAGCUUGUUGGUGGGGUAGUGGCUUACCAAGGCUUUGACGGGUAGCCGGCCUGAGAGGGUGACCGGCGACAUUGGGACUGAGGGACGGCCCAGACGCGUACGGGCGGCAGUAGGGGGGAAUAUUGCACGAUGGGCGGAAGCCUGAUGCAGCAGCGCCGCGUGCGGGAUAACGGGCUUCGGGUUAUAAACAGAUUUCGACUGUGACGAAGAGUGAGUGACGGUAAUGGGUAAAAAAGCAACGGCUAACUACGUG